UCUUUUGGGUGUCACUAGAUUAUGAAAAGACCAUAUACUGACGUUUAUGGUGCAUUUAACGAAAGCAGUAAUGAAAAAUGGUCCUUGCUGCACAGGAAAAUAUCUGACAAAGGUCAAACAAUGGCUUGGUGGGACAAACCCAAAUCCUUACAAGUGAACGAGGGAGGAAAAGAGGAAGGGAGUUGUUGCUAGAUAAAUAUCACUUAAUGGGCCAUAAUGGUGCUUAAUGACAGUUGAGAGCUUCCUACCAAACACAAGGAAUGACAGGAACAAACAAAUGAUGAAAACAAUCUUGAGAACUAUGUCCACCAUCUUGUGAGGCCCCUGAUGUGACGCACAUGAUAAAGGUCACCGCUGAAGGGCCCCCUGCUCUCGUUUCUACAGCUAUUGUGUACAGAGAGUCGGCAGAACCUUUUGUGCUUUCAAUGAAAUCGCUUCCAAACAUCGGGAAAGAAAUUUGCAAAUUUAGAGGAAGACUUCACUGACGUUUGAUCUUCUGAUUCAACACAGAAAAUUACAAAAGAAGAAUCCCAGCUGGCUUUCUGAACGGGACUAAAGGACCAUCAUGACAGCAAAGAUAGAAAUCCUCGAUCCCUCAGCUUUAUCAGCUGUCACCUCUGCUGUGAGCUAUGAUCCCAAAUCAGAGACAGUGACCUUACCAGGAGGAGUCGUUUCUGUGGCCGGCAUCACUGUGGUGACUGGAGGUGCUGAGCUAUCGUGUGGUUCCUGCAUGUUGGCCUUUGGGUUCUGGGGAACUCUGACUGGGCUGAGCUGUGUUGCUGUGGGACUGUGGGACAAACUGCAGCUGUCAGACGGACGGACCUCUCAUUUACUGGUGCUGGGUUGUGUGAUCCUGGGCCUCAGCUUCGGGGUGGUGGCCAGCGUGGCAUGGUACUACCUCCUGACAAAGACAAAAAGAAAGAAGACCCGAGAGCAGAGAAAAGAUGAAAAAGUGGUUCUCGUGCAGGAGAGUGAGAGGGUCAUUAAAACAGUCACAGUCUGAAAGGGGAACCUGAUGAUGCAUCUGAAAACAUCAUGGAAUAGUUAGGGUUCCUAUUUUGGUCUAAUCUUUUUCUCUGAGUCACUUACACAUAAUGACAAAUGUUCACUUUUUAUACAUAUAUUUUAUUGUAAUAAGGCAGCAAAACAGUAAGUAAACCAACAAAAUUCACCUAUAAAAACAAAUCAAAGGAAAAAUUCAAAACACAAAGAUAACUAACUAAAACAAACACACCAAGGAUGAGCAACAACUCAACAAAAAUAAUCAGUGGUUCCUGUUAUUGUGCGAGUGGCAUACAGGCAGACGGGAAACCACAACCAAGACCCCCAGAGCAAGAUUAUCCAAAUUUCACUCCCUUACAUUAUGGGGAAAUUUCCCCACGUGAGAGGUGCUUCAAAUAGUUUAUCAGAGGCUUUGGAGGAGCCUGCGAGUGUGUUUUUUGUUUCAAAAGAAAUAGGAAGUAUUUCUAAUUUAGUGCAUAAUACAUGAUUGUCAAUGUUUGUAUGUACCAUGUAGACAUGAGUAUAUAUUAUGUACAUAUGUAUUUUGUUGACAAACAUCCAU